AGAAGUCCAGUUUCCGGGGACCGGCCUUGCUGAAUUCAGCCAAAGCACAGGGGCCGUGGAAACCGACCGGGGUUGGGCCCCGCCCCCGGAAGCGCGGCGCGGACCGCCGGGAAGGCGGACACUGGUGUUGUAGAGCGGAGGGAGUAUGGAGCAGUUAUGAUUUUCUGUAUGUGAGAUCAUAUCACCAGCCAACAGGGACACUUUCACUUCUUCCUUUCCUGUUUGGAAGCAUCUUUGCCAAGUUGCCCCAUCAAGGACUUCCAGCACUGAACAGACGAGGUUGACCCCGAAAUCUUUUGACUCCACACACUGCUGGUACCCUGCUACAGCUAGCUGACUGUGGACUGCUGGAGCUGGUGCACACACUGCUGGCACCCUGCUACAGCUAGCUGACUGUGGACUGCUGGUACUCGUGGAAAGACUUUCUGAGGAUUUCAAACCACGAGUCUCCGCAUUCAGGAGAUUCAUCUCAAAGAAUCUGAUGAUGGCAAUAAUGAAAUAGCACUGACUGUUUUAGCUCAAGGGCGUGGAUAAGCGCUAAGUCCUAGAGCUGAAGGGAUUUUGAGCUGCUAGAUCAGAGAAAACCUUGGAUAUCUACAGCACAGUCUGGGAGUUGACAUGGAAGUUGAAAAACGGAAAGUCUGAAUCAAAAGAGCAUCUCAAGGAUUUGCUAGGAACUACCAAACAGAAUGGACACUUCCCAAAAUACAUCAUUUCAGCAAUGAAAGACUAGCAGGCUUGAGAUUGACAAGGUAAGACAAGAUCCUCUGUUUUCUCUAUAGACUGAGUCUCUUCAUCAAUCCAUCAUUUACGCAGGACACAGUUUUCUUCCUAACUCACAACUGAAUGCUGGUGUCGGCAGUUGAACCCAGGGUCUCGUGACUGCUAGGCAACUGUUCCACCGCUGAGCUACAUUCUAAACUCCACAAUCCCUCUCAUAACAUC